UCCGGUGAUCAUACCUUGUUGGAAAUACUCGUUCCCAUUCCGAACACGAUCGUCAAGCAACAAGGGCCGAUGAUAGUGCCGAAAGGUGCGAAAGUAGGUUGUUGCCGGUU
rnacentral:rRNA from 1 species